rnacentral:rRNA from 1 species
CCUACGGGGGCUGCAGUGGGGAAUAUUGGACAAUGGGCGAAAGCCUGAUCCAGCCAUGCCGCGUGUGUGAAGAAGGCCUUCGGGUUGUAAAGCACUUUCAGUGGGGAAGAAAGCCUUGGGGCUAAUACCCUCGAGGAAGGACAUCACCCACAGAAGAAGCACCGGCUAACUCCGUGCCAGCAGCCGCGGUAAUACGGAGGGUGCGAGCGUUAAUCGGAAUUACUGGGCGUAAAGCGCGCGUAGGCGGUCUGAUAAGCCGGUUGUGAAAGCCCCGGGCUCAACCUGGGAACGGCAUCCGGAACUGUCAGGCUAGAGUGCAGGAGAGGAAGGUAGAAUUCCCGGUGUAGCGGUGAAAUGCGUAGAGAUCAGGAGGAAUACCAGUGGCGAAGGCGGCCUUCUGGACUGACACUGACGCUGAGGUGCGAAAGCGUGGGUAGCAAACAGGAUUAGAUACCCCAGUAGUC